rnacentral:rRNA from 1 species
GUAGGGAAUAUUGGGCAAUGGUCGGAAGACUGACCCAGCCAUGACGCGUGCAGGAAGACGGCCCUCUGGGUUGUAAACUGCUUUUAUCUGGGAAGAAAAAGGCCAUGCGUGGCAAAUUGCCGGUACCAGAUGAAUAAGCACCGGCUAACUCCGUGCCAGCAGCCGCGGUAAUACGGAGGGUGCGAGCGUUGUCCGGAUUUAUUGGGUUUAAAGGGUGCGUAGGCGGCUGAUUAAGUCAGCGGUGAAAGACUUCGGCUUAACCGGAGCAGUGCCGUUGAUACUGGUUGGCUUGAGUGUCGGAGGGGUACAUGGAAUUGAUGGUGUAGCGGUGAAAUGCAUAGAUACCAUCAGGAACACCGAUAGCGAAGGCAUUGUACUGGCCGACAACUGACGCUGAUGCACGAAAGUGUGGGGAUCGAACAGGAUUAGAUACCCUGGUAGUCC